UACGUAGGUGGCAAGCGUUAUCCGGAUUUACUGGGUUUAAAGGGAGCGCAGGCGGAUUGGUAAGUCAGUGGUGAAAUACCCGUGCUUAACAUGGGAACUGCCAUUGAUACUAUCAGUCUUGAAUGUUGUUGAGGUUUGCGGAAUGGGUCAUGUAGCGGUGAAAUGCAUAGAUAUGACCCGGAACACCUAUUGCGAAGGCAGCAGGCUAAACAAAUAUUGACGCUGAGGCUCGAAAGCGUGGGGAUCAAACAGG
rnacentral:rRNA from 1 species